ACAUCUCAAAGGCAAGUUCCAGUUCCUCUUUGUUUGAUUCUCCACUGUUAAUAGCUUUUUAAUCAACAACAGCCUCCCAAUAUCUCUAAGCUUCUUCAGAAUUGCACUCCUCCAAGUAGCAUAAAAAAUAGGAGGAACGGAUCCCUCCGCAGUGGGGGGAAAAAAAAAAAUCAUAGAAACCUUUCACAUGGAAGAUCCCAUAUCCUAGUCACCCUGUCUAUUCCCUCAUUCAGAAGCACAGGCUGUUGGAUGCUAACCAAAUCAGCAGCCUCAUCUUGCUCCUCCUCAACUUGGGCCAAAUAGAAAGCUGACUGUUCUCAUCCCUUGCAUAAUUCUCUACUAACUGAUGGAGCUUAAUAGUAGGAGGAGUUGAUUCCCUAGCCACAAGAAUCUGUCCAAAAUAUAGCGUCAGCCCCAUACCCAACCUUCACAUUUAUGCUUGGUGAAAAAAAAAAUCUCUUUUGCCUUCAGAACACUCUUCCAUGCAGGUGAAGCAAUGUUGCUUGGGGAAGAGCUUGACCAUCCAACUCUUUUUCUAUAUAGUAUUUAAGUUCGACAAAACAUUUCCA
rnacentral:lncRNA from 1 species